rnacentral:rRNA from 1 species
GCAUAUCAAUAAGCGGAGGAAAAGAAACCAACAGGGAUUGCCUCAGUAACGGCGAGUGAAGCGGCAACAGCUCAAAUUUGAAAUCUGGCCCUAGGCCCGAGUUGUAAUUUGCAGAGGAUGCUUUGGGCGCGGUGCCUUCCGAGUUCCCUGGAACGGGACGCCAUAGAGGGUGAGAGCCCCGUCUGGUCGGACACCAAGCCUAUGUAAAGCUCCUUCGACGAGUCGAGUAGUUUGGGAAUGCUGCUCAAAAUGGGAGGUAUAUGUCUUCUAAAGCUAAAUACCGGCCAGAGACCGAUAGCGCACAAGUAGAGUGAUCGAAAGAUGAAAAGCACUUUGAAAAGAGAGUUAAAUAGCACGUGAAAUUGUUGAAAGGGAAGCGUUUAUGACCAGACUUGGCCCGGUUGAUCAUCCAGCGUUCUCGCUGGUGCACUCUGCCGGUCCAGGCCAGCAUCAGUUCGUCGCGGGGGAUAAAGGUUUCGGGAAUGUGGCUCCUCGGAGUGUUAUAGCCCGUUGCGUAAUACCCUGCGGUGGACUGAGGUCCGCGCUCUGCAAGGAUGCUGGCGUAAUGGUCAUCAACGACCCGUCUUGAAACACGGACCAAGGAGUCGUCUUCGUAUGCGAGUGUUCGGGUGUAAAACCCCUACGCGUAAUGAAAGUGAACGGAGGUGGGAGCUUCGGCGCACCAUCGACCGAUCCUGAUGUUCUCGGAUGGAUUUGAGUAAGAGCAUACGGGGCCGGACCCGAAAGAAGGUGAACUAUGCCUGUAUAGGGUGAAGCCAGAGGAAACUCUGGUGGAGGCUCGCAGCGGUUCUSACGUGCAAAUCGMUCGUCACAAUAUSGGCAUSGGGGGCGAAAGACUAAUCGAACCUUCUAGUAGCUGGUUUCCGCCGA